CUCAGCCUUCCAGCACGUGUGCAUAUGCGGCAAGCGGAUGCGACUACCCGUGCACCUGGAGCGUCAUCGAGCGUCGUGUCCUCUCUCUCUCUCCUCUCAAGUUUCCCAGUGAUGGGAUUACGUGACCCUUUUGCGGCAGUGACUCUACAGGACAGGACAGGACAGGUGCGUGUGGACACAGGUGUCAAAGAUGGCGCCACCAUCAGCACGUUCUACAACCCGAUAAUCUCAAAGAUCUCACUCAGCUCUGCUCUCCGAGCAUUCUGCUUCCAACACGCCGUGACUUCCCGAAAGAAAAUGUGCUCGCGCAUUAGAAGGAGGUGAAAGAUGCACCUGCAGGAGAAUACAUGCUGAAGAGAAGGCAGAAACAUGCCUGGAUCCACCAGAACUAGUGCUGGCAAGUAAACAGAGGCGAGUACUGAUAAUGUUCCAGAUUGUGGUAGGAUCACAUAAGCAAAAUUGACACUGGGAGGCACGACGGUGGAUCAGCUCAUGGCCAGCGCCAAUUCCAGUGGACAUCACGUGCAUCCAGUUCUAGUACUAUAGUAUGACUGCUACAAAGUAGUGCGGCCCAAAUAGAACUCGGGUCAG